rnacentral:ncRNA from 2 species
UAAAUUGACGGAUACGUUGAAAACUUCUCUGUAAAUUGGGCGCUUUGAGAAGUUGGAGUAAGUAGCGCAACCGGCCGAUAAAGGG